rnacentral:rRNA from 1 species
AGAUUAAGUUAUUAAGGGCGCACGGUGGAUGCCUUGGCACUAGAAGCCGAUGAAGGACGUUACUAACGACGAUAUGCUUUGGGGAGCUGUAAGUAAGCUUUGAUCCAGAGAUUUCCGAAUGGGGAAACCCAGCAUGAGUUAUGUCAUGUUAUCGAUAUGUGAAUACAUAGCAUAUCAGAAGGCACACCCGGAGAACUGAAACAUCUUAGUACCCGGAGGAAGAGAAAGAAAAUUCGAUUCCCUUAGUAGCGGCGAGCGAAACGGGAAGAGCCCAAACCAACAAGCUUGCUUGUUGGGGUUGUAGGACACUCUAUACGGAGUUACAAAGGACGACAUUAGACGAAUCAUCUGGAAAGAUGAAUCAAAGAAGGUAAUAAUCCUGUAGUCGAAAAUGUUGUCUCUCUUGAGUGGAUCCUGAGUACGGCGGAACACGUGAAAUUCCGUCGGAAUCUGGGAGGACCAUCUCCUAAGGCUAAAUACUCUCUAGUGACCGAUAGUGAACCAGUACCGUGAGGGAAAGGUGAAAAGCACCCCGGAAGGGGAGUGAAAUAGAACCUGAAACCGUGUGCUUACAAGUAGUCAGAGCCCGUUAAUGGGUGAUGGCGUGCCUUUUGUAGAAUGAACCGGCGAGUUACGAUUUGAUGCAAGGUUAAGCAGUAAAUGUGGAGCCGUAGCGAAAGCGAGUCUGAAUAGGGCGUUUAGUAUUUGGUCGUAGACCCGAAACCAGGUGAUCUACCCUUGGUCAGGUUGAAGUUCAGGUAACACUGAAUGGAGGACCGAACCGACUUACGUUGAAAAGUGAGCGGAUGAACUGAGGGUAGCGGAGAAAUUCCAAUCGAACCUGG